GUUCUCGAACAUUCGUGAAUCGUGAACCAACGCCCAGUCCCGCCUGAGCCAGCGAAAUUGUAGCAGCCAUUGGGGUGCCUGUCUGGCCAGCUUCUGCAGCUUUCGCUUUCUCAAGACUGAAGACCACAACAACAACAAAUUUUUAUUUGUCUGAAGUAAUGGUAUUGUGAUGAUGUAUCUCAUUACUCCUAAUGGUAUACAGAAAAUAAAAAGUAACUGUGAAAGUAAAAA